rnacentral:rRNA from 1 species
GUGGGGAAUUUUGGACAAUGGGCGCAAGCCUGAUCCAGCAAUGCCGCGUGUGUGAAGAAGGCCUUCGGGUUGUAAAGCACUUUUGUCCGGAAAGAAAUGGCCUGGGUUAAUACCCCGGGUCGAUGACGGUACCGGAAGAAUAAGCACCGGCUAACUACGUGCCAGCAGCCGCGGUAAUACGUAGGGUGCGAGCGUUAAUCGGAAUUACUGGGCGUAAGGCGUGCGCAGGCGGCGAUGCAAGACAGAUGUGAAAUCCCCGGGCUCAACCUGGGAACUGCAUUUGUGACUGCAUGGCUAGAGUGCGUCAGAGGGGGGUGGAAUUCCGCGUGUAGCAGUGAAAUGCGUAGAGAUGCGGAGGAACACCGAUGGCGAAGGCAGCCCCCUGGGAUGACACUGACGCUCAUGCACGAAAGCGUGGGGAGCAAACAGGAUUAGAAACCCCGGUAGUCC